rnacentral:rRNA from 1 species
UAGGGAAUAUUGCGCAAUGGGCGAAAGCCUGACGCAGCAAUACCGCGUGGGUGAGGAAGGUCUUCGGAUUGUAAAGCCCUGUCACUGUGGAAAAAUGGCAUGCUUUCGAAUAGGGAGUAUGUUUGAUGGUACACAGAGAGGAAGCACCGGCCAACUUCGUGCCAGCAGCCGCGGUAAUACGAAGGGUGCAAGCGUUGUUCGGAUUUAUUGGGCGUAAAGCGCGCGCAGGCGGGCAGAUAAGUCAGGUGUGAAAUCUCGGAGCUUAACUCCGAACGUGCGCCUGAAACUGUUUGUCUAGAAUGGCGGAGGGGGAAGGGGAAUUUCGCAUGUAGGGGUAAAAUCCGUAGAUAUGCGAAGGAACACCGGAGGCGAAAGCGCCUUCCUGGACGCCUAUUGACGCUGAGGCGCGAGAGCGUGGGGAGCAAACAGG